CAUGUUUGCUUCCCCUUCUGCCGUUAUUGCAAAUUCCCUGAGACCUCCCCAGCCAUGCAGAACUGUUAGUCAAUUAAGCCUCAUUCCAUUAUAAAUUGCCCAGUUUCAGGCAGUUCUUCACAGCAGCAUGAAAAGGGACUAAUACAAUACUCUUAUAUGAUGAAAGUAGUUGAAACAGCAAGUUCUCUCCUUUCCGAAUAUAUGUCCUGAGACUAAACUUCUUUGAUUUCUCCAUGGAGGGGAUAGGACAUUGGGCCGAUCUCAUUGCUCCCAGCCUAGCAGGCAUCAGAACCUUAGAAGCCAUGAUUUCACUCAGUGAGUCACUGUCACAUUGGCACAUCCUAUUCCCUGUUGAUGGUGCCACCUUUUACACAAAGGCACUCAGCACAUCCUGCACUGGCAAUGAGAUGAGUCUCCCUGGCUGCCCCUUCCUCUAUGCGACCUCACAAUGAUUGCAUUGGAAGGAUUAUGACAGCAACUUCCUGCAGUCCCAUGGUGCCCAACAAAUUGAGGGUGACUCAGUGCCUCAGACAAGGAGGUAAAUGUUUCUUUUCAAUGAUUAUAAUCGUCACUCUUUCCUGUCCCCUCCUCCCCACAGUUGCUGAUACUAUAUUCCAUUAUGUUUAUAAAAAUAUUAAGGGACAUUAGUAUAAGGUGAUUAGGAUAAUAUUUAGUUACUAUUAUAAUAUAUUCUGUUUGAAAUACUAUAACUUAAGAUGUUCCAGACAUUGCACCACAGACUUUAUACAUUGUGGUGGACAAAACAUGGCCAGAAAUUUAUCAACAUUUCUGCAAUUCAGAGGAUACUGAGGCACUGUGAGGUUCACUGAAAGCUGGACUGUGAGGAAGAUUCGGGCCGUCGGACUCCAGACCCCAAGCUCUAACAUACUAUAUGGAGAAAUUAAGGCAUUGAAAAGUCACUUGCCCCAGAUGACACAGCUAGUGGACAGUCGAGGAAAUGUGGGCUCUGGAGUUGAAUCACGAUCUAGAUUCAAAUCUUGGUCCUGCCAUUUGCUGGAGGGACAUGUUUAGGAGGGCAUCCCAGGAGAAGGCAGAGUCCAGGAGGCGGAUGUUGGGAAGCAAAUCCUGAACUCAUCAAGUCCCAUAGCCCCUUUGUCUAUGGACCUUCUGCCAGCAUCUUCUGUAAGAGUAAUGGUUCACCUAUCUCUUGCCCUGGGAGGCUGACACCUGUAGACUGCAUCUCACGCUCUCCUUGGCCAGCUAGCUUCAAGUUGAGUUCAGCUAGAAAACAACCCUGACAAGGAAAUGAGAAGUUUCUUCAAUCAACCCUUAUUUUUCUUUGCUGUGAGGACCAGGAAGGAACCAAUCUGUUUAAAAACUGUUGCCCGCUGGUGGCUCGUUGCCAGGUCUGAGAUAACACUGGUGGUCCCUCUGAGGGCUGAGGACGCAUUCCCCGGGUACUGCAAUCAGAGCAGACGCAUGUGCAGCUGUGGAUGGAGGGAGCUGACGUGUUCUCUCCGGGAGCAGAGGAGCAAAUGUCACGAGAAAAGCCCUUGAAAAUGGUUCUCAUCCCUUUCUCCAUCGCAGACAACCCAGAAUAAACUGUUCUGAAAUGUUGACGUUUAAUAAUAUUAAUAUUAGUAAUGGCUGGAAAGGGCUUCUGGUAAUGAGAUUCCAGGAUAAAUAGGUCACUGGGUUUUCAUUGCUUAUCAAUGAAGUUCCCAAAAAGAUCUUUUUUAAGGAAAUAGGCUCAUGUAAACUUUUUUUUUUUUAAAAAAAGGAAGGAAAUACAUUGUCUUUAUAAUAAGG
rnacentral:lncRNA from 1 species